GUCGCCUCUAAUAUCAGAGCUCACCGGAAACAUGAUUCAACUCCGACGCAUGACGCUUUGCUCCGACUACCGUCUGGCACCGACAAUAGUCAUCAUCUUCCUCAAGUCCUCCGUAGAUUGAUAAUAUCUUCAUCGACAACUAUCAUUUGUAAUCAUUUUACUGUGUUCUUCCAGUCAUAUGAAGGCGAGAUGUUCUCUCAAAUUGUUGGAAGCCCUCAUUACAUGGCCGCAGUAGUGCUUAAGCGCAGUUAUGGACCAGAGAUUGAUAUAUGGAGUGCAUGAGUUAUUCUUCAUAUUUUAUUAUAUUUUAUUAUGUGGCGUUCCUCCAUUCUGGGCACAUACUUAUUUUUUCCUUAGAUGAUUGAUAUAUGGGGUGAGGUUCAACGGGGAAUACUAAAAAGUAGAGAACUCGAAACUCGGGGUGCAAAUGAGCCGAGCGGCUCAAGAAAAAGUUCAAAGUGGGUCGAACCUUAUCGAGCUGCCUGACAUGUGAAGCUCGUCAAAUCUUAUCGACCAACGAGCCGAGCUCAAACUCUCAUAAGUUAAUCGAGCUUGAGCCGGGUCAAGCUCGGGCGCGACUCGUUUGCACCUCUAACUUUGCUGGGAACCAUGCAUUUAACAAAUUAAAUAUAUCAUAAAAAUUCAAUUUAAAAUGCUAAAAAUUAUUCUUUUCAAAAAACAAUUUGUAUCUUUUGCAUAUAAAGAUGUGUAGAAGCUAUUCCAAUAAAAAAACAUUUUUGUAAUUUUUUUAACCCUUCUAACUCCCUUAUAAUCAUUUUUUAGUUUUUGAUAUUCUUUUAUUAAAAAGGUCUGUGCAUGUAUUUAUAUGCAAAAACUCCGAAAAACAUUGUGAAAAAAAAAUAAAUUUAACAUGUUAAAUUAUUUUUUUAUGAUAUAUUUUUUUAGCAGAUCAAGGCAAACUCUGAUUUAACAUGUUAAAGUUUAUUGUACAAAACUUAUUUUAACAUGUAUGGUCAAAUAAAAUCGAAUCAAGUUUAGUUGA
rnacentral:lncRNA from 1 species